CACCCAACAGCUAGCCCCACACCCAAAACAACAAAACAACAUAAAUACCCCCUAAAGCACGAUAAGUGACCUAAACUAAACCAUUUUUCCUCCUUAGUACGGGCGACAGAAA
rnacentral:rRNA from 1 species